GUUGACCUACCUCUUAGACUGGGAUAGUUACUAGAAAUAGUGAGUCAUACCGGAUAGCGAGGCGCUUAUUCUAGGCGUCUUGAAAGGUGCGUUGGCAUCGCUGGGAGAUGGGGCUAACUCCUAUUAGCUGGUUGGUGGGGUAAUGGCUCACCAAGGCGAUGAUAGGUAGCCGGCCUGAGAGGGUGAUCGGCCACAUUGGGACUGAGAUACGGCCCAGACUCCUACGGGAGGCAGCAGCUAAGAAUAUUCCGCAAUGGGCGCAAGCCUGACGGAGCAAUUUCGCAUGGAUGACGAAGGUCCUUGGAUUGUAAAAUCCUUUCGGCGGUCAAGAAUAAGCUGGUGAGGAAAUGCACCGGCGAUGACGAUAGCCGCAGAAGAAGCCCUGGCUAACUACGUGCCAGCAGGCGCGGUAAUACGUAGGGGGUGAACGAUGUUCGAAAUCACUGGGCGUAAAGGGUGUGUAGGCUGCUUAGAAAGUUAAUGUGAAAUCUUAGAGCUUAACUCUAAAAGUGC
rnacentral:rRNA from 1 species